UGGAUCCAGACUUUGAUCCUGGCUCAGGACGAACGCUGGCGGCGCGCCUAACACAUGCAAGUCGAACGAGAGAGAGGGAGCUUGCUUCCUCAAUCGAGUGGCGAACGGGUGAGUAACGCGUGAGGAACCUGCCUCAAAGAGGGGGACAACAGUUGGAAACGACUGCUAAUACCGCAUAAGCCCACGACCCGGCAUCGGGAAGAGGGAAAAGGAGCAAUCCGCUUUGAGAUGGCCUCGCGUCCGAUUAGCUAGUUGGUGAGGUAACGGCCCACCAAGGCGACGAUCGGUAGCCGGACUGAGAGGUUGAACGGCCACAUUGGGACUGAGACACGGCCCAGACGCCUACGGGAGGCAGCAGUGGGGAAUAUUGCGCAAUGGGGGAAACCCUGAUGCAGCGACGCCGCGUGGAGGAAGAAGGUCUUCGGAUUGUAAACUCCUGUUGUUGAGGAAGAUAAUGACGGUACUCAACAAGGAAGUGACGGCUAACUACGUGCCAGCAGCCGCGGUAAAACGUAGGUCACAAGCGUUGUCCGGAAUUACUGGGUGUAAAGGGAGCGCAGGCGGGAGAACAAGUUGGAAGUGAAAUCCAUGGGCUCAACCCAUGAACUGCUUUCAAAACUGUUUUUCUUGAGUAGUGCAGAGGUAGGCGGAAUUCCCGGUGUAGCGGUGGAAUGCGUAGAUAUCGGGAGGAACACCAGUGGCGAAGGCGGCCUACUGGGCACCAACUGACGCUGAGGCUCGAAAGUGUGGGUAGCAAACAGGAUUAGAUACCCUGGUAGUCCACACCGUAAACGAUGAUUACUAGGUGUUGGAGGAUUGACCCCUUCAGUGCCGCAGUUAACACAAUAAGUAAUCCACCUGGGGAGUACGACCGCAAGGUUGCAACUCAAAGGAAUUGACGGA
rnacentral:rRNA from 1 species